CGACCGGCGGAAGGGUGCGUAACGCGUGAGCAACCUGCCCGUAUCUGGGACAUAACCGGUGGAAACGCCGCCUAAUUUCCCAUAACAACAGAGGCCGCAUGACCUUUGCUUGAAAGCUUCGGCGGAUACGGAUGGGCUCGCGAGACAUUAGCUUGUUGGUGAGGUAACGGCCCACCAAGGCUACGAUGUCUAGGGGUUCUGAGAGGAAGGUCCCCCACAUUGGAACUGAGACACGGUCCAAACUCCUACGGGAGGCAGCAGUGGGGAAUAUUGCACAAUGGGGGAAACCCUGAUGCAGCGACGCCGCGUGAGUGAAGAAGUAUUUCGGUAUGUAAAGCUCUAUCAGUAGGGAAGAAAAUGACGGUAGCCAAGGAGGAAGCCCCGGCUAACUACGUGCCAGCAGCCGCGGUAAUACGUAGGGGGCGAGCGUUGUCCGGAAUGACUGGGCGUAAAGGGCGUGUAGGCGGCGCUGUAAGUCCGGAGUGAAAGUCCUGCUUUCAAGGUGGGAAUUGCUUUGGAGACUGCAGAGCUUGAGUACGGAAGAGGUAAGUGGAAUUCCCGGUGUAGCGGUGAAAUGCGUAGAGAUCGGGAGGAACACCAGUGGCGAAGGCGACUUACUGGGCCGUAACUGACGCUGAGGCGCGAAAGCGUGGGGAGCGAACAGGAUUAGAUACCCUGGUAGUCCACGCGGUAAACGAUGAAUGCUAGGUGUAGGGGGUAUCGACCCCUCCUGCGCCGGAGUCAACACAAUAAGCAUUCCGCCUGGGGAGUACGGCCGCAAGGUUGAAACUCAAAGGAAUUGACGGGGGCCCGCACAAGCAGCGGAGCAUGUGGUUUAAUUCGACGCAACGCGAAGAACCUUACCAGGUCUUGACAUUGAUGUAAGCCUGUAGAGAUACAGGGUGGCUUCGGCCGACUGAAAACAGGUGGUGCAUGGUUGUCGUCAGCUCGUGUCGUGAGAUGUUGGGUUAAGUCCCGCAACGAGCGCAACCCUUAUUGUCAGUUACUAACAGGUAGUGCUGAGGACUCUGACGAGACCGCCGGGGACAACUCGGAGGAAGGUGGGGACGACGUCAAAUCAUCAUGCCCCUUAUGACCUGGGCUACACACGUGCUACAAUGGUGACUACAAAGAGCAGCGAAGUCGUAAGGCCAAGCGAAUCUCACAAAAGUCAUCUCAGUUCGGACUGUGGGCUGCAACCCGCCCACACGAAGUUGGAGUUGCUAGUAAUCGCGAAUCAGCAUGUCGCGGUGAAUACGUUCCCGGGCCUUGCACACACCGCCCGUCA
rnacentral:rRNA from 1 species